rnacentral:rRNA from 1 species
UACAGGGGGUGCAAACGUUGCUCGGAAUUAUUGGGCGUAAAGCGUGUGUAGGCGGCCACGUAAGUCGGAUGUGAAAGCCCCAGGCUCAACCUGGGAAGUGCAUUCGAUACUGCGUGGCUUGAGUAUCGGAGAGGUUGGUGGAAUUCUCGGUGUAGAGGUGAAAUUCGUAGAUAUCGAGAGGAACACCGGUGGCGAAGGCGGCCAACUGGACGAAUACUGACGCUGAGACACGAAAGCGUGGGGAGCAAACAGG